AACGCACAUUGCGCCCUCCGGUCCUCCGGGGGGCAUGCCUGUCCGAGCGUCAGUGCAACCCUCGAGCCCCCGGCUCGGUGUUGGGCGCCGUCCCCUCCUCCGGGGGGAGACGCGCCCGGAAAUCGGCGGCGGUGCGGCCGGGCGAUCGAGCGCAGUGACCAAGUUUUUCGCUCCGACCUCGCCCGGGCGCUCCGGCCGGACAACCCCCCCACGUCCAUGGUUGACCUCGGAUCAGGUAGGGAUACCCGCUGAACUUAA
rnacentral:misc_RNA from 1 species